ensembl:lncRNA
AUUUAUAAAUAUUUACGCCCUUGGACUUCAAACACUUUCCACAGCCACUUCUACUCAAAUAUUGGUAUUUUUUUAAUUGUGCUUAGAGUCAAGUUAAUUUUUUUUUUUUAACUAUCUACAAUGAGCAGAGAAGUUUUAAUAUAUCCAAUCCCACAGCAGGAACAAGAGGGAGGGAGCAAGCCUUUGUCUUUGGUUAUGUGACAACCAUAGAGGGGCUUCAUAGAACUUAUCUCAUUGAAUCAUCAAUUCAAAUUUAAAUAAAAUAGUACUCCUAUUUUACAGAAGGAGAAACACAGACUUAGCAUGGUGAGCUGCAUAGGCAGGGUAACAUGGCCAGAGAACAAAACCAAGCUCCAGACGCUCUGGCUCUAAGCUGCUUUUGCUGGACAAGGGCUCCCCCGGAGCAUGAUGGGCUCUGUGAGAGCAGCUGUGAGUCCACCUCUCCAGAGACGCUGCAGUCUCUGAGGCUGAGCACCAGGGGGCAAUCCACGAACUGCAGGAAAGCUGUCUCCCUCAGGAGGAAAUCUGGAGGAGACGGCCUCUCAGAGCCUUUCCGACUUUCCAGAGUGUUGGAUUGGUGACCACAGGGAUCGUCAAGGCUUUGCACAGACAUUCAAGUUUGUUCUGCCUUUUGGGCAUCUGGAAGGUAGGUGUGCCUUAUGCCUUGUUUUGGCUGAUGAAACAUAACCAGAUGUGAUGUGUGUCUUUUAAGGCAAAGCGUUAGGGUUGGCAUGCAGGUCAUCCUGCUCCAUCUCCACCACUUCGGUGGUCAGUGUUGGGAGAGGGUCUCCUUCCGCUUGGAUCUCUGAACUCUUCCAAGGAGCAGAGGCGCUUGCUGGCCUGCAAACAAAGAAUAUUUCUCUCCUCCUCGGUAUUCACUAUCUUGUGAUUUAUCUCAGAAAUCCAGGGUGUCCUCUGGGUUUGCAAGGUUAGUCCUAGCUACAUUCCUGCAGAAGAGAGAGCUCUGACGAUCUGAGCUCUGAGUCCUGUUGAUGAGAUGAGAUGAGAUGAGAGAUGAUGAGAACUCUGACAAUCUGAGCUCUGAGUCCCAUUGAUGAUGAGAUGAGAUGAGAGACGAUGAGAGCUCUGAGUCAUCUCUUGUUGAUGAGAGAGAUGAGAGCUCUGAGGCCCGUUCUCUUUGGUCAGCGCUACUCUAGUCCGCUCUGGAGGCUCGGUGAUGACCUGCCGAGUGCUGCCACGGAACUCUGUGAUGCACCCUAUGAACCAGGAGAGCAGGUGGAGGACAGCUCACCAAGCAACAUCUCUCAUCAGAAAGAGGAGAGAUUGGAUAGAAAAGGACAUCUCUCUUCUCCAGGCUUGGUUCUAACACACCC